UUUGCGUGUUGCCUCUUCUGCUAGCUGCUGAGGGCUGUGCAAAGUUCCUGGAGAGGCUGCCAUUACCACUCCUUGAGGCAAGGCUGUAGUGGGAGUUCGGAUCUGAACUACUCUAAUUGCCAUGCUGGAAGGGUCAACAUCCACAACAAAAGCUUGGAGGACAUCUGAGUGAGCCAAUAUAGGAGGGAUGGUGAAGUUGGAACAGGAGACCGCUCGCAAAUAUGCCACACCGCAAACAGCAAUUCCGUGAAUCAUGAGGGUAUCCUGUGUAUAUCAUCCAGAACGGGUAAUGCUACGUAACCUUCUUCCAUUCUGUGUCUGCAGUGAAAUGAAGAAAUGCACUAUGAAGGUCUAUCUGUGCUGAAGGUGAUGUGUGAAGAAUGUCCAGUUAUUUGUGCUGAGUUUCUUGGAUCUCUUCUAAUGGGAUUUGAAGUGUGUUUAUUAUUCUUUUCAUAAAAUCCUGAAAUUGUUUAAAAUUGGAGGUGGAUAAAUACUUCAUUGAGAAGAGUGUACCCCUUCAUUAGCUCUCCUUUCUUCCUCCUCAGACAUCUCACCCUGCAGUGAAGACUGCUGUGGAGGAAUAAAGGGAAAUGGAGAGUGCUGUCUUUGGUAUUUCCUGCAAGCACUGUGUACCUUGGGAAAUAGUUGGAGGUUGUGAUGCGGUGUACUAACCGCCCCCCCCCGGCCAGGGAGGGGUUAACCAGGCUUACUGGGCUAAGAAGGCUCCUCCCC